AUGAGGCGAACCGGGGGAACUGAAACAUCUAAGUACCCCGAGGAAAAGAAAUCAACCGAGAUUCCCCCAGUAGCGGCGAGCGAACGGGGAGGAGCCCAGAGCCUGAAUCAGCAUGUGUGUUAGUGGAAGCGUCUGGAAAGGCGCGCGAUACAGGGUGACAGCCCCGUACACAAAAGCGCAUGUGCUGUGAGCUCGAUGAGUAGGGCGGGACACGUGGUAUCCUGUCUGAAUAUGGGGGGACCAUCCUCCAAGGCUAAAUACUCCUGACUGACCGAUAGUGAACCAGUACCGUGAGGGAAAGGCGAAAAGAACCCCGGCGAGGGGAGUGAAAAAGAACCUGAAACCGUGUACGUACAAGCAGUGGGAGCCCCACCACCAAAGCAUUCUCUGGUGUUGAAGGCCCUGCAAAGCAGCAUCGCGGUGGCGGAGCGUCGUUUGCGACGCCCAACACACAAAACAAGCGGUGAGUGCUUUGGGGUGGGGUGACUGCGUACCUUUUGUAUAAUGGGUCAGCGACUUAUAUUCUGUAGCAAGGUUAACCGAAUAGGGGAGCCGGAGGGAAACCGAGUCUUAAU
rnacentral:rRNA from 1 species